rnacentral:lncRNA from 10 species
ACACUGAAGGAGUGCAGAAAAUGUCUGGAGAUUAUUAAGAACAGCUGCUGAAAGAGAAGAGUAGAUUUGUGAAAUCCACUUGCUUGCCCAAGAAGACUAGUAUAUACUGGCUUUGAAGUUACGGAAAGAGGCCAAGGAGCACAAAGAAAGUAGCUUCAGAUGUUGGAAAAAACAAACAAGUGGAUUCUAUCCUAUAGCUCUGGAGAGCCUGCCCAAACUCUCCAACACCUUCAUUUCUUCUCAGUGAUACUCCAGAACUGGGAGAGAAUAAAUUUCUGCUAUUUCAAGCCAGGAAUUUGUUUACAGCACCCACAGGAAACUAAUACAGGUAAUAAGCUGGAGUAAUAGACAGGUCGGGAUCUGGGAGGGAAAAACAGGCCUGAAAGAAUGGGUUCCCAUGGAAGAUAGCCAAAACAAUGUUAGUUUACUAAAAUAAUAUUAACUUGAAACACAAUAUGAACAUUAUCUCCACAAGCUGGACAGAUCAUAUUUAAUGGCAUAAGAUGUUUUAUCGACAGUUGAUGAUUGAAUAUUGAAAAUUAUAAAGCAAUUUUUAGGGGUGGAUGCAAUUUGAAGUAAUAUCUAUGCCUGUUGCUAAGGUUUGAGUUCAGGGACAAUGCACUAAGGAAAGGGAUUUAGCAAAUGCUGUGAGAUUUCAGAAGCUUGUAAGUCCAGGCUGGGAUUCUGGCAUGAAUUUGCCCUCCAGGCUAAUAACUGGCAUUCAAAUACAAAAUCACAUCAGAGGCUCCUGCAUAGACAAAUUUACAGCAUACCGACA